UCGUAUUCUUCCACAGCUUUCUUGAACUGCAUCUCUACAACGAAGCUUGUGGUUAUUGCAUGCCACGGCUCGCCAAUUAAGCGGCUUCUUGUUUUCUUGUUUUGUUGCGGUUCAAUAAAGCUGUGGGAAGAUACU
rnacentral:sRNA from 1 species